rnacentral:misc_RNA from 1 species
GAUGAAGAACGUAGCAAAAUGCGAUAAGUAAUGUGAAUUGCAGAAUUCAGUGAAUCAUCGAAUCUUUGAACGCACAUUGCGCCCGCUGGUAUUCCGGCGGGCAUGCCUGUUCGAGCGUCAUUUCAACCCUCAAGCCCCCGGGUUUGGUGUUGGGGAUCGGCUCUGCCCUUCUGGGCGGUGCCGCCCCCGAAAUACAUUGGCGGUCUCGCUGCAGCCUCCAUUGCGUAGUAGCUAACACCUCGCAACUGGAACGCGGCGCGGCCAUGCCGUAAAACCCCAACUUCUGAAUGUUGACCUCGGAUCAGGUAGGAAUACCCGCUGAACUUAAGCAUAUCAAUAAGCGGAAGGA